AUCAAGAGUUGUACUAUACUUUGGUAUCUUCAAAGUGGCUUCUAAAUAGAGUCAGCUUUUAAUUUUUGUGAAAAAACAUUUUUGGUGGUGGUUCUGGAGAUGAAAUUCAGGGCUUUGCACUUGCUAGCUGAAGUGUCUGUUGCUGAGCUAUGCUCCUUGCCCCAAUCCGAUGAAUUGAACAGUGAUUGCAAUGAAUCUGUUAAGUCAACUUGGGGACAGUUGAGUAUUAACAGUGUUAAAUCUUCCAGUCAAUGAAUGUAGACUGUCUUUCCAUUUACUUAAGAUCUUAAUUUCCUUCAGUAAAGUAUUUUUUGUGUACAUUUCACAUUUUUAAAAUGAAACUAGGAAGUAUCUUACUGCUAAUGUGAACAGAAUUAUUUUAAUUUCAUUUUUGGAUGGUUCAUUGCUGGUAAAGAGAAAUGCAACUGAUUUGUAUAUAUUGAUCUUGUAUUAUUGUGGUCUUGUUUUUAGGUCUACUAGAUGUUGGGGGCUAUCGUAAGGUGCUCUACAUCCAGGACAGUGUAUAGAGGCAGUUUUGCUUAUUCCUUUGUAGUCAGGAUACAGCCCCGUUGAGUGAUGAAGAGGAGCCCGAAGGUUAGCUGUGUAGCUGCCCAGCAUGGAGAUAAAAAUAGGGGAAUCAACCAUGAGACAACUGAACUGACAACAACAGCCCUCAACUCCUACCCUGUCGCAGUACCCAAGUGUACACCUGUGGGAUCACCUACAGCUGCUGGCCCAAGAACUGCCGGCUGCCAAGAGAGAAGGCACCUAGAGCCCCGAACCCACUCCCUCCCUUAAUGCUUCCCGUCUUCUCCGUGGAGACCACAUAGCCUCACUUUGAAAAAAUAAAAGAGAGAAAAAGUUAGGCAAGAAAA